rnacentral:rRNA from 1 species
GAGUUUGAUCCUGGUUCAGGAGGAUGGCUGGUGGCGUGCCUAACACAUGCAAGUCGAGCGACGGAGGUCAGAUGACAGAGACCAGAGGUCAGAAAGGGAAAUCCCCAAUCUGGCAUCCGGCUUCUGACAUCUGACUUCUGGAGUGGCGGACGGGUGAGUAACGCGUGGGUAACCUACCCAACAGACCGGGACAACACUUGGAAACGAGUGCUAAUACCGGAUAACCUAUGGCUUCGGCAUCGAAGCGAUAGGAAAGGUGGCCUCUAUAUAUAAGCUACCGUUGUAGGAUGGACCCGCGUCUGAUUAGCUAGUUGGUGGGGUAACGGCCUACCAAGGCGACGAUCAGUAGCCGGCCUGAGAGGGUGAACGGCCACACUGGGACUGAGACACGGCCCAGACUCCUACGGGAGGCAGCAGUGGGGAAUCUUCCGCAAUGGACGAAAGUCUGACGGAGCAACGCCGCGUGUAUGAUGAAGGCCUUCGGGUUGUAAAGUACUGUCAUUGGGGAAGAAUGGUCGCUAUGAAAAUAUUGUAGCGACAUGACGGUACCAGAAGGAAGUCCGGCUAUUUACCUU